ACACCUCCAGAGAGGAGAUCCUGGGAGCUCUGGCACUGGCUGAGAGGGUGAAGGGGCUGGCCAAGACCAUCUCUGCCACACUCUGGGACCCUGAGGAGGAGAUUGCGGCGCGCCGGCGGGAGAUGCGCGGGCUGCGGAUGGAGCUGCUGGCUGGGCCCGGCCGCCCGGAGCAGAGGAGAGCUGUGGCCCAGCUGCAGAGAGCCCUGCGGGAGCUGCAGGUGCUGAAGAGUCAAAGGUGGGAGAAAAAGCAGGCAGUGGCCAAGGUGCUUGGGACAGCUGAGAUGCACCAGCCGAGUGCUGAGGACCAGGUCUCUGCAGGGAAUACAGCUCCACGCCAGCAGCCUGGGACCCACACACCCCCGAGCAGUGGCAGCCUGGAGCCAGCAGAGCCGGAGCGUGGGGCCAGGCACGCAUCCAGCUGGGUGGAGGGACGAUGUGACAGCAAAAGCCAGGGAGGGGACAGCCGAGCUCUGGCCAGCGCAGGGCAGGGGCUGCUGGAGGAGCCAUCCCAGAGCAAAGUGUCACAGGCACAGCCACGGCCCGGGUGUGACAGCGUGAGUGGGAGCCUGCAGGGUCCCUGUGCAGGGCCAGCCCUGCUGCCAGCACUGGCUCCUGGUGCCACCCGAGCCCGCUCUGCUCUCCUGCAGGCAGGGAGCCGGUGCCAGCCGUGCCCAGCCCCACAGGUCCGGCGUGCCCUGGCCAGGGCGCAGCGGCAGCGGCUGCGGGCUCAGCACUGCCGGCAGCUCCAGCGAGAGCUCGGGGCCAGCACUGCGCUGGCCCAGGAGCA
rnacentral:lncRNA from 1 species